rnacentral:lncRNA from 1 species
GAGAGCGUUGGCAGCCGAGUCUUUGUCUCUUUUCUCUGAUUGCAGCGAGAGCAGGUGGUACUCUCUGGCACGGUGAGAAGCAGCGCAUGCUUCUUUCCCGUUUCAGAUGGGCUCCACAACUCAGAGGAGAGCCCUCAUCGCUCGGUCCUCCCUCUGCGGAGCAGGCACCGGCCCAUCUUCCUCUCAGUGGAUAACAACCCUCUUUUCCUGUUGCUAGAAGACUGGGGACAUCUUUGGCUGGAAUAGACCACUGUGGGGAGAAGGCUCUUAGGAGAGUGGUCCAUGAGGAAGACCUAUCAUGAGAAGAAAGGAUCAAAUCAGGCUUCGUGGCAAGUACCUUGGCUCACCAAGGCAUGUUGGCUGUUCCUGUAGCAGAGACUCUAGAAGAAAAAGCACCUAUACAGUGCCACUGAAUGGAUAUUCUUGGAUGUGUGCACUUCAUAGUUAUGCAGUAAAACACGAACUAAGACAGUCUGCAUACACCCUUCUAGGCCAGGCAGGGCUACAUGGUAAGCCCUCAUCCCAAAACAACAACAACAACAUCAUCAAAGGAGAGACAACAAGAGAGAGGAACAUCCGGUCAGGCACAGUACCUUCUGGAAUCCUAGCACUUAGAAUUGAGAGUCUGUGACUGUAUAAUGAGGAUUGUGCUUCAUACCUUAAUUCAUCACGUUCUGCUGGCUCUCGUUCGCCUGUUCUCAGAUGAUAUUCACAUUUCUUGGAAGCUGGAACAUGUACCCCAUAGACACAGUGGUGUCUCCUGACUCAGUUACUUAUGGAUGGUGUACUGGCUGGUUUUGUGUGUCAACUUGACACCAGCUGCGGUUAUCACAGAGAAAGGAGCCUCAGUUGUGGAAAUGCCUCCAUGAGACCCAGCUGUAAGGCAUUUUCUCAAUUAGAGAUCAAGAGCGGAGGACCCAGUCCAUUGUGAGUGGUGCUGUCCCUGCGCUGGUGGUCUUGGGUUCUAUAAGAGAGCAAGCUGAGCAAGCCAGGGGAAGCAAGCCAGUCAGUAACAUCCCUCCAUGGUCUCUGCAUCAGCUCCUGCUUCCUGCCCUGCUUGAGUUCCUGCCCUGACUUCCUUGGGUGAUGAACAGCAAUGUGGAAGUGUGAGCUUAAUAAACCCUUUCCUCCCCAGCU